UGUAAGUUCGGCGGUUGUAAUCAGUGGUUGGCUCAGCUCAUGAAGACAAGACAAGAAUUCUUCUCGGUAGCGUUGAUUUUCAAACGGAUUCAAACGUCCUGUGAAUUCUUUCGUGACCCCAGCGAGCCGAGUGUGAAUGGCGGUAGAGGGCAGGCGGGCAACAUUUCCUGAACCGAGCAAUCCUGAUUCCUGAUUGUCUCAAGUGCAGAUGUAUUCGUGAGCGUGCCAGAGGGAGUGAAAUUAAUUUACCUUACGUGUACGAGUUAGUGAUUCUAGUACCAUCAGAUAUUAAGCGAAUGUAUCAUUCACUGUAAGUGAACCAUAUUCUACUUCCAGUUAUAACUCCUAAGACUAACACAGUCGUAUCGGUAGCCUAUAUGUUCAUAGUAGUAGUUGUUGUAGAAGUGCCCUCUCUAUAUCUGUGGUAACAACACUUCUGAGUGAAAUCAUUGCAAACAAUCCUUAACGUAUCCAUAAUUUCAGGAGGCUAAGUGACUUUGAGCAAUUAUUUUUUAAACUCGUUAUGAAAACCUUUAAAACCAAUUAUUUCUAUCCUAACUUCUUUAGGUUGCAAAUACUUCUGAACUAGCUUUAAAAGAAGAUGUAAUAACGAACUAUAUUAUUGCCUGAAAUGGUUUUCGCCAGUGAUCUGACAGAUAAUACAUAAACCCAUCUUCUCAUGAUUUAUA